rnacentral:rRNA from 1 species
CAUGCAGUCGAACGAUGAAGCCUAGCUUGCUGGGUGGAUUAGUGGCGAACGGGUGAGUAACACGUGAGCAACCUGCCCUGGACUCUGGGAUAAGCGCUGGAAACGGCGUCUAAUACUGGAUAUGAGCUUUCACCGCAUGGUGGGGGUUGGAAAGAUUUUUCGGUCUGGGAUGGGCUCGCGGCCUAUCAGCUUGUUGGUGAGGUAAUGGCUUACCAAGGCGUCGACGGGUAGCCGGCCUGAGAGGGUGACCGGCCACACUGGGACUGAGACACGGCCCAGACUCCUACGGGAGGCAGCAGUGGGGAAUAUUGCACAAUGGGCGGAAGCCUGAUGCAGCAACGCCGCGUGAGGGAUGACGGCCUUCGGGUUGUAAACCUCUUUUAGCAAGGAAGAAGCGGAAGUGACGGUACUUGCAGAAAAAGCGCCGGCUAACUACGUGCCAGCAGCCGCGGUAAUACGUAGGGCGCAAGCGUUAUCCGGAAUUAUUGGGCGUAAAGAGCUCGUAGGCGGUUUGUCGCGUCUGCUGUGAAAUCCCGAGGCUCAACCUCGGGCCUGCAGUGGGUACGGGCAGACUAGAGUGCGGUAGGGGAGAUUGGAAUUCCUGGUGUAGCGGUGGAAUGCGCAGAUAUCAGGAGGAACACCGAUGGCGAAGGCAGAUCUCUGGGCCGUAACUGACGCUGAGGAGCGAAAGGGUGGGGAGCAAACAGGCUUAGAUACCCUGGUAGUCCACCCCGUAAACGUUGGGAACUAGUUGUGGGGUCCUUUCCACGGAUUCCGUGACGCAGCUAACGCAUUAAGUU